AGCAGCUGAGGUACUCUUCAUCCAACAUGCCCCUCGCCUUUUACUAGGGGCAUCCGGGAGAGUGCCUCGCCCAAGGCUGCGUUGGAAUCUUUGGUUAUACUAGACCCUCUUGGGUCUA
rfam:Schizophyllum commune H4-8 unplaced genomic scaffold SCHCOscaffold_6, whole genome shotgun sequence.